CCUACGGGUGGCUGCAGUGGGGAAUAUUGCACAAUGGGGGAAACCCUGAUGCAGCAACGCCGCGUGAGUGAAGAAGUAUUUCGGUAUGUAAAGCUCUAUCAGCAGGGAAGAAGAAGGACGGUACCUGACUAAGAAGCCCCGGCUAACUACGUGCCAGCAGCCGCGGUAAUACGUAGGGGGCGAGCGUUAUCCGGAUUUACUGGGUGUAAAGGGAGCGUAGACGGUUAAUCAAGUCUGAAGUGAAAGCCCGCGGCUCAACUGCGGAACGGCUUUGGAAACUGAGUAACUGGAGUGCUGGAGGGGCAGGCGGAAUUCCUGGUGUAGCGGUGAAAUGCGUAGAUAUCAGGAGGAACACCGGUGGCGAAGGCGGCCUGCUGGACAGUAACUGACGUUGAGGCUCGAAAGCGUGGGGAGCAAACAGGAUUAGAUACCCGGGUAGUC
rnacentral:rRNA from 1 species